AGUUGAGAGAAAGGAGGAGGGAGGAAAAUGAGAAGUGCGUGUCUGACAGCAUACACCAUGCAUGCAAAAAAAAAAAAGAGACUCAUUUGUCUAUUUAGACUCCUUGUUAAUCCCAUCCUUAUCCCUGCUUGAACAUAACCCGCUAUGGCUUCUCUGUUCCCUAUUUUGUGCAAUAUUUUCCUCAUGAUCAUUUCCCAUUCAUUCACCAUCAAUUCACAAGACACAAGCUUCUCUAACCCCGCCAUAUCCCAAUGCAAUGCACCCUCCAGCCUCCUUCCUCUUGUUCCUUGCGCACCAUUUGUGCAAGGUCUUGCUGCGUCUCCAGGACAGCCCUGCUGUGACAACCUUAAAUUGCUCUACACACAAAUCCCCCACAAUGUCUCUGUGUUUUGCAAAAUGUCUCUACUCUCAUCUCCUUCCCCAUCAAUAGGACACUUGCUCUCUACCUCCCUGCUCUUUGUACCCUUCAUGUCAUGCCUCUGACUGCCCAGGGGUAAAAUUGCCUGCCAAUCCACCACCUGCUCAAUCUACUGGGACAAUAGGCAGCCCUAAUAUUGCUGCUUCUCCAGUAGUAACAGUGAUACCAAAGCCCAGCAUUAUAGGAUUAGGACUUACAAGAAGCGAAGCCAUUAAUUUGAAGACUGGGGAUGGUUUUGUUGUAGCCAUGACCAUGGCAAUUUUAUUUCUUAUCAGCAUUUAAAUUGUAACUGGAGUCCUAUAUUCUGCAGAAAUAAUUUUAAUUUAUGCGUUUUUAAUAUAGAUUUAUGUAUGUUUUGCGAUCACUUUUAUUAUUUAGUUGUCAUACAAUAGAAUAGGUAGUUUUGUUUACAGUUCAAGUGUAGAUUCCCUUAUGUUCUGAACAGAAAUGCAGGGUCUCAUGAAUAAUUGUGAUGUA